CCUACGGUCGGCUGCAGUGAGGAAUAUUGGUCAAUGGUCGGGAGACUGAACCAGCCAAGUAGCGUGAGGGAUGAAGGUACAGAGUAUUGUAAACCUCUUUUGUCAGGGAACAAAGGCGGGGACGCGUCCCCGGAUGAGUGUACCUGAAGAAAAAGCAUCGGCUAACUCCGUGCCAGCAGCCGCGGUAAUACGGAGGAUGCGAGCGUUAUCCGGAUUUAUUGGGUUUAAAGGGUGGGUAGGGGGUCUGUUAAGUCAGUGGUUAAAGCCCGGGGCUCAACCCCGGGCCCGCCGUUGAAACUGGCAGUCUCGAGUAGGAUAGAAGUAUGCGGAAUGCGCGGUGUAGCGGUGAAAUGCAUAGAUAUCGCGCAGAACUCCGAUUGCGAAGGCAGCAUGCCGGCUCCACACUGACGCUGAGGCACGAAAGCGUGGGUAUCGAACAGGAUUAGAUACCCCUGUAGUC
rnacentral:rRNA from 1 species